GCCUAAAGUCUAGCCCAACUAAUUCUAAUAACGAUAUUUCCUUUCUGUCACAAAACAAAUCAUUUAAAAAUUUUAGUACCGGAGAUAAAAAAAAUUAUAAGCGCUUCAGAUGUAGUACCGCAAGGGAAUAAUGAAAUAAAAAUGAAAUAAUUUAAAGCUCAACACAGCAGAGCUUACUCCUCGUACCUUUUGCAUCAUGGUCUAGCCAGUCUAAUCAAGCAAAAAGAGAUUUUAGUUUGACACCCCGAAACUAAGCGAGCUACUUCAAAACAGCCUUUGUGGGCAAACCCGUCUCUGUCGCAAAAGAGUGGGAAGAUUUUCAAGUAGAGGCGAAAAACCUACCGAGCUUAGAGAUAGCUGGUUGUUCAGGAAAAGAGUUUUAGCUCUGCCUUAAGUUUUUGUAUUAAAAUUAAAAACCCCCAUAAACUUAAGAGUUAUUCAAUUAAGGUACAGCUUAUUUGAUACAGGAUACAACCUACAAUAUUGGGUAAACAAAGAGUAAUAAAACAAAGUAGGCCUAAAAGCAGCCACCUUAAAAAAGCGUUACAGCUUCACUUUUUAAUCUAAAAUACCUAUAACCCCGAUGAACCCCUCACCACUACUGAACUAUUUUAUAACCUUAUAAAAGCUAUAAUGCUAGAACUAGUAACAAGAAAUCAUUUCUCCUAUAUGCAAGCAUAAACCAACAUGGAUAAUCCAUUGGCACAUAACGUUUGUGUCUCUAAUAUAACAACAUAAACUAGAAAACCUUAUUACCAAAAACGUUAACCUUACACCAGAGCAUACAAGGAAAGAUUAAAAGAGAAAAAAGGAACUCGGCAAAUUUUGGCCUCGCCUGUUUACCAAAAACAUCGCCUCUUGAAAAAACAUAGGAGGUCCAGCCUGCCCAGUGAAAAAUUUAACGGCCGCGGUACCCUGACCGUGCGAAGGUAGCAUAAUCACUUGUCCCUUAAAUAGGGACUAGCAUCAACGGCAUCACGAAGGCUGAACUGUCUCUUUUCUCCAAUCAGUGAAACUGAUCUCCCCGUGAAAAAGCGGGGAUUGACUUAUAAGACGAGAAGACCCCAUGGAGCUUUAGGUAAUGUAUACACCUAAAUUUGUUACACCAACUAAAUAUGAUAGCUUGAUUACUAACCUUAGGUUGGGAGGACCGCGGAGUACAACUAAACCCCCACAACAAAAAGGCAACACCUUUAUCCACGAGCUACAGCUCUAAGAAUUAAAAUAUUAAUGUCCAAUGACCCGAUAAUUCGAUCAACGAACCAAGUUACCCUGGGGAUAACAGCACAAUCUGCUUAAAGAGCUCAUAUCGACAAGCAGGUUUAUGACCUCGAUGUUGGAUCAGGGUAUCCCAGUGGUGCA
rnacentral:rRNA from 1 species